rnacentral:rRNA from 1 species
UCUACGGGUGGCAGCAGUGGGGAAUAUUGCGCAAUGGGCGAAAGCCUGACGCAGCGACGCCGCGUGAGGGAUGAAGGUCUUCGGAUCGUAAACCUCUGUCAGCAGGGAAGAACGGUCACUGUGCUAAUCAGCAGUGAAUUGACGGUACCUGCAAAGGAAGCACCGGCUAACUCCGUGCCAGCAGCCGCGGUAAUCCGGAGGGGGCGUGCGUUAAUCGGAAUUACUGGGCGUAACGCGCUCGUAGGCGGGAUGUCCAUGCAAGGGUGAAAUCCCCUCGCGCAACGUGGGAACUGCCUUUGAAACUGGCAAACUGGAGUGUGUGAGAGGAUAGGGGAAUUCCAGGUGUAGGAGUGAAAUCCGUAGAUAUCUGGAGGAACAUCAGUGGCGAAGGCGACUAUCUGGCACAUAACUGACGCUGAGGAGCGAAAGCGUGGGUAGCAAACAGGAUUAGAUACCCGGGUAGUC